AGAACGAACGCUGGCGGCAGGCCUAACACAUGCAAGUCGAGCGCUCCGCAAGGAGAGCGGCGCACGGGAGAAUAACGCGUGGGAACCUACCUUUUGGUUCGGAAUAACAUCGGGAAACUGGUGCUAAUACCGGAUAAGCCCUUACGGGGAAAGAUUUAUCGCCAAUAGAUGGGCCCGCGUUGGAUUAGCUAGUUGGUGAGGUAAUGGCUCACCAAGGCUACGAUCCAUAGCUGGUCUGAGAGGACGAUCAGCCUCACUGGGACUGAGACACGGCCCAGACUCCUACGGGAGGCAGCAGUGGGGAAUAUUGGACAAUGGGGGCAACCCUGAUCCAGCCAUGCCGCGUGAAUGAUGAAGGCCUUCGGGUUGUAAAGUUCUUUUGACAGGGAAGAUGAUGACUGUACCUGUAGAAUAAGCUCCGGCUAACUUCGCGCCAGCAGCCGC
rnacentral:rRNA from 1 species